rnacentral:rRNA from 1 species
UAGGGAAUAUUGGUUAAUGUGGGAAACCGCGAACCAGCAACGCCGCGUGCGCGGUGAAGGCCUUCGGGUUGUAAAGCGCUUUUAGAGAGGAUGAGGAAGGACAGUACUCUCUGAAUAAGCCUCGGCUAACUACGUGCCAGCAGCCGCGGUAAAACGUAGGAGGCGAGCGUUAUCCGGAUUUACUGGGCGUAAAGCGCGUGUAGGCGGUCUGAUAAGUUGGAUGUGAAAGCUCCUGGCUUAACUGGGAGAGGUCGUUCAAAACUGUUAGACUUGAGAGUGGUAGAGGGAGGUGGAAUUCCGGGUGUAGUGGUGAAAUGCGUAGAUAUCCGGAGGAACACCAGUGGCGAAAGCGGCCUCCUGGACCAUUUCUGACGCUCAGACGCGAAAGCUAAGGUAGCAAACGG